rnacentral:rRNA from 1 species
AUACGGAGGAUCCGAGCGUUAUCCGGAUUUAUUGGGUUUAAAGGGUGCGCAGGCGGGAGAUUAAGUCGGCGGUGAAAUUUUGCAGCUCAACUGUAAAAGUGCCUUCGAAACUGGUUUUCUUGAGUGUAGAUGAAGUAGGCGGAAUUUGUGGUGUAGCGGUGAAAUGCAUAGAUAUCACGAGGAACUCCGAUUGCGCAGGCAGCUUACUAAACUACUACUGACGCUCAGGCACGAAGGCGUGGGGAUCAAACAGGAUUAGAUACCCUGGUAGUCCACGCAGUAAACGAUGAUUACUAGCUGUUUGCGAUACAAUGUAAGCGGCUGAGCGAAAGCGUUAAGUAAUCCACCUGGGGAGUACGUUCGCAAGAAUGAAACUCAAAUGAAUUGACGGGG